ACUGAUUAUUGCAGCCAAAACCAACAUGGAGGUGUUGUUAGAGGUGGUUGAGGAAGAGGCCAAGCUGGUGGUGGCAAAGCCGCAAAGACAAUAAAGAUAACAAAAACUGAAGGUUUUCUACAUUUGUGGAUCAUCGGGUGAACACGCUCCUGUCUCUAGGAGCAUCCGGAGCUAAAUCCUUUGUUGCUCAGAUUUGUGCAAUGAUCUUUUUUGUAAUUCAGUGGCUACAUGAGAGUUGUUUCUGAUUGACUCAGAGUUUAGAGUCUACAACGAGUGUACGGUAGGAGACGGUAAUGAUGAUAGAGCUGAAUGAUAGCGGUGAAUGACUGACUCAUCACACGAUCGGGAAGAAGCAUAAGCUGGAGGCGAACGGUGAAGACGGACCAGUUAUUUUUUUAUGCAAGGAAGACAGGAAUGAUUCCAUCUCCAUCAGUAACUUAAUUCUCUUCACACUCAAGAUGGUGUGGUUACAGUUCUCUGUUCUCUCGACUCUUGAGUUGUUAGUUGUUUAUCUAAUGGUAAGAUAUUUUCUCUGUAUGUAAACUUGAUCGUCCACGAAUUAACCCUCAUGUAUUUUGGUUUCUAUUUGUCAGAACAGAGUAUGUCGAUGAUUUUAGCCCAUAAAAGUUGUCAGUAAAUUGACUUGA